rnacentral:rRNA from 1 species
GACUAGGGAGACAGGUGGUGCAUGGUUGUCGUCAGCUCGUGUCGUGAGAUUGUUGGGUUAAGUCCCGCAACGAGCGCAACCCCUACGUUUAGUUGCUAACAGGUGAAGCUGAGCACUCUAGACGAACUGCCGUUGACAAAACGGAGGAAGGUGGGGAUGACGUCAAAUCAUCAUGCCCCUUAUGUUCUGGGCUACACACGUGCUACAAUGGCCGGUACAGAGGGUUGCCAACCCGCGAGGGGGAGCUAAUCCCACAAAGCCGAUCGUAGUCCGGAUCGCAGUCUGCAACUCGACUGCGUGAAGUCGGAAUCGCUAGUAAUCGUGGAUCAGCAUGUCACGGUGAAUACGUUCCCGGGUCUU